GAUGAACGCUGGCGGCGUGCCUAAUACAUGCAAGUCGAGCGAACGGACGAGAAGCUUGCUUCUCUGAUGUUAGCGGCGGACGGGUGAGUAACACGUGGAUAACCUACCUAUAAGACUGGGAUAACUUCGGGAAACCGGAGCUAAUACCGGAUAAUAUUUUGAACCGCAUGGUUCAAAAGUGAAAGACGGUCUUGCUGUCACUUAUAGAUGGAUCCGCGCUGCAUUAGCUAGUUGGUAAGGUAACGGCUUACCAAGGCAACGAUGCAUAGCCGACCUGAGAGGGUGAUCGGCCACACUGGAACUGAGACACGGUCCAGACUCCUACGGGAGGCAGCAGUAGGGAAUCUUCCGCAAUGGGCGAAAGCCUGACGGAGCAACGCCGCGUGAGUGAUGAAGGUCUUCGGAUCGUAAAACUCUGUUAUUAGGGAAGAACAUAUGUGUAAGUAACUGUGCACAUCUUGACGGUACCUAAUCAGAAAGCCACGGCUAACUACGUGCCAGCAGCCGCGGUAAUACGUAGGUGGCAAGCGUUAUCCGGAAUUAUUGGGCGUAAAGCGCGCGUAGGCGGUUUUUUAAGUCUGAUGUGAAAGCCCACGGCUCAACCGUGGAGGGUCAUUGGAAACUGGAAAACUUGAGUGCAGAAGAGGAAAGUGGAAUUCCAUGUGUAGCGGUGGAUUGCGCAGAGAUAUGGAGGAACACCAGUGGCGAAGGCGACUUUCUGGUCUGUAACUGACGCUGAUGUGCGAAAGCGUGGGGAUCAAACAGGAUUAGAUACCCUGGUAGUCCACGCCGUAAACGAUGAGUGCUAAGUGUUAGGGGGUUUCCGCCCCUUAGUGCUGCAGCUAACGCAUUAAGCACUCCGCCUGGGGAGUACGACCGCAAGGUUGAAACUCAAAGGAAUUGACGGGGACCCGCACAAGCGGUGGAGCAUGUGGUUUAAUUCGAAGCAACGCGAAGAACCUUACCAAAUCUUGACAUCCUUUGACAACUCUAGAGAUAGAGCCUUCCCCUUCGGGGGACAAAGUGACAGGUGGUGCAUGGUUGUCGUCAGCUCGUGUCGUGAGAUGUUGGGUUAAGUCCCGCAACGAGCGCAACCCUUAAGCUUAGUUGCCAUCAUUAAGUUGGGCACUCUAAGUUGACUGCCGGUGACAAACCGGAGGAAGGUGGGGAUGACGUCAAAUCAUCAUGCCCCUUAUGAUUUGGGCUACACACGUGCUACAAUGGACAAUACAAAGGGCAGCGAAACCGCGAGGUCAAGCAAAUCCCAUAAAGUUGUUCUCAGUUCGGAUUGUAGUCUGCAACUCGACUACAUGAAGCUGGAAUCGCUAGUAAUCGUAGAUCAGCAUGCUACGGUGAAUACGUUCCCGGGUCU
rnacentral:rRNA from 1 species